UCAAAGCCCUGUCAGACCCUGCAACAGCUCUGCUUUGUGUGAAUCCUGCUUGCUAUGUUCCCAGGGAAACGCCAAAGGAAUUAAGCCUCACAGAUGUAAAAAAGAGGUGUAGAAAGAAGAGGAAACUUCUAUUUGGGGCUCUUGAGAGGACUGAAGUCCCUUCUUGAGCCACUGGCUAGUAAAAGCCACUUUGUUCCUCUCUCUGUGUUUGAGUGGCCCUGAAAAUCCCCCGCAGUUUCCUGCUGCAACUGUAGAGAGAAAAGAAACCAGCCUGUUGCGAGCCUCUUGGUUCUUUUCAACCCCGGCCUUCCUUCCAGCCGUCAUACCUCAGUGAGAGGAGUCACCUGAGAGGAGGUAACACAGGAAUCAAACUCGGGACCUGUGCUUGCAAGGCAAGAGGUGGAACCAUUGAGCUGAAUCCCCGGCCCACGGACUUCUUUCUUCCAAAGGGAGUGUGGGGACAGCCUCGAUAUAUAUAGAAUAAUGUUCCUCAUUCUCCUACUUCAGUCUUACUGCAGUCGCUGAUCCAUGAAGAGUACACUGCCCCUCCCUCACGCUCCUCACUGGCUAAUAAAAGUGGGCCAAGCUGACAAGGUCUUGUGUUUUGCCCACUCUGCGGUACUGACUUCAAAUUUGUCUCUCUUUCGUUAUCUCUCACUGUACCCUCCACCCGCAAGUAGGCAGCUGAGGGUCUGAUGGGCGCUGGGCAGGAAGCCUAUGGUUGUCAGACAACUGACUCCUUAAAUACCAAGCUCUACUUCCAGAAGGACUAAACCGUGCAAGUAAAGACAUAUUGCUUGGGGCCAGGGAUUUAGCACAGUGGUUCUGCCACCUGCCUCACAAGCACAAGGUCCUGAGUUCAAUUCUCAGAUACCAAAAAAAAAAAAGAGGACAUAUUGUUCCUUAAUCCCUGCCACCUUUCUACCAGGAAAAAGGAGGAAACUGAGGCUGAAAGAUGUGACUGCAAGCAGGUAAUUCCCUAUACAUAAGCAGUCAGAGAAGACGUGUUAG